UAUAUAUAUAUAUAAUUUUAAUGCUGAUGGA
rnacentral:piRNA from 1 species